rnacentral:rRNA from 1 species
CCUACGGGUGACAGCAGUAGGGAAUUUUGCGCAAUGGGCGAAAGCCUGAAGCAGCAACGCCGCGUGAACGAGACGCCCUUCGGGAUGUAAAGCUCUCUCAGUGGGGACGAACGAUGACGGUACCCACAGAGGAAGCACCGGCUAACUCCGUGCCAGCAGCCGCGGUAAUACGGAGGGUGCAAGCGUUGUCCGGAAUCAUUGGGCGUAAAGAGUGCGUAGGCGGUAUGUUAAGUCUGGUGUUAAAUGCAGAAGCUCAACUACUGUUCUGCAGUGGAUACUGGCAAACUAGAGUGCGGUAGAGGUAAAGGGAAUUCCUGGUGUAGCGGUGAAAUGCUUAGAUAUCAGGAGGAACAUCGGUGGCGUAAGCGCUUUACUGGGCCGUAAUUGACGCUGAGGAACGAAAGCGAGGGUAGCAAAUGGGAUUAGAUACCCUAGUAGUC